rnacentral:misc_RNA from 1 species
UUUAGAGAGAGAGAGAGAGAGAAGUAGAGUUAGAGAUAGAAAGAGGGAGCUCCAAAUAGAGGGAGAGAUGAGUGAGGGAAGUGAUUUAGAGAAGAGAAUCGGAUGGAGGCGAUGGGCAGAGGAGAGGGACAGAGGGCUGUGGGCUGCUUGCUUCCAUGCAAAAGGCAAUUUGGAAACACAUACACAAACAAUAACCGUAGACUCUGG